AAGCAGAGGAACCCCAUCAAACUUGGAUUUUGUAAGUAGUUGCGAAUGAACACAAAUUUGAUCACUUUGGCAAUCUGUACACAUUGCUGUGUAACAAUUUGUAUACGUUGGCACAGUGCUAUCAAAGCUGCAUGCAAGUGUUUUUUGAAAGGAUACAACAUGGGAUGUGAUAUUCAUGUGUGUGUGCCUGCUUUGUCCACAGCCUGUGCUGUAUGAAUCACAUUUCUUGCAACUGAAAUGCUAAUGGCAUGGUAAAGUUCAUGUGACAUGACACAAGCUUGAGAUUCAUGAUGUGCAAGUACCAUGAGGGAAAUGUGAAAAGGACUUUGGAAAGAGAAUUAAAUAAAGCCUGCAUUUGCUGACAAUGAAAGCAAGUGUGGAUGUUCAUGUAAUUGUUACUGCAUCAAUCAAUGUUCAUCUUGGUUACUGCAUGCUUUAUAUUACAGCUCAGAACAUGAAGUGUGUGUAACAGCUCUGCUUUGAUUUUUCCCACAUGGGAUCAGUUGAAACAUUGUGAGAGCACUCUUCAGUUUCCUUAUGUACCCACCAGCUUUGUCCACUCGCGUGUUGGCACACAUGUAAUGAUGAUGUGUUUAUGCAAGAUACUUCUGUGCUCAACAACAUGUUGUGUCAAUCCUCACUUGAC
rnacentral:rRNA from 1 species